rnacentral:misc_RNA from 1 species
CAACCACACAGCCGCCAUCGCAACCUUCCUCCUCCACUGGGCCGCCCUCACGCUCCACCUACCGGACUUCUCUCCGCUAGCGACCACUUCUUGACCAGACUCUACGGUAGUGUCGAUCCUUCGAGGGAGGAGGCGGGGAGCCUCUCUUGCUCAUACCUACGGCCCCCUGUUGGCGCGGUCGUUUUACUUCCUGCUGCCGCUGCUGCUCAGUUUUCCCUUCUUGCGUGCUGGCGUCAGAUUUUGUGCUCGCGUCUGCUCACUAACGCGUGUGUCUUGCACCCAUAAUCGAUCGUGCAUCGUGCACAGACACGCGCGCGAAGCUCAAUAUCGGCGAGAGACGAACCCCACAUUCGACGUUACCACCACAGAAGCGGGAUGCCACUCACUGCGCAAGCUGCUGAGGUCAAGGCCAGUGCCGAGGCGGUCUCCACCGGCAUCGAUGACCCCCUCGAAGGGAAGGGCCUAGAGAUCGCCGUCAGCACCGUGCCGAACCACGUUGGCAAGGUGAAGCGCAUGCUCCUCACAGACCGUGGCAAUCCGUCAGUGCCGCCGCCGAAUUGGGAGCCACUAAGCAGCUCUGCGCUCUUCGACGAGAGUGGCAAGGCGCGCCCUGAUGUGGUGCGCGAGCACCUCACAAAGGAGGGUCUGCUGCAGGAGGCGGAUGCCCUGACGAUUAUUACCCAGUGCGCCUUGAUAUGGAAAGACGAACCAAAUGUGCUGCGUCUCGAUGGUUCGGUGGUCAUCGCUGGCGAUAUACAUGGCCAAUUUUUCGAUUUACUGAACCUCCUCUCCAUCGGCGGCGACCCGUCCCAGCAGAAGUACAUCUUCCUGGGCGACUAUGUCGACCGCGGGUGCUUCGGCAUGGAGGUGAUCCUGCUACUCAUGUGCUACAAGAUCUGCUACCCCGAAACAAUGAUCAUGCUGCGCGGCAACCACGAAAGUCGACACCUCACGACGUACUUCAACUUCAAGCGCGAGGUGCUCUACAAGUACUCCAUCGCCGUGUACAACGCCAUAAUGUCCGCCUUCGAUUGCCUGCCGCUUGCAUGCAUUCUCAACGAUCGAUUCCUCUGCGUGCACGGCGGCUUGUCGCCGGAGCUGAAGCGGAUCUCCGACAUUGGCGCCAUUCACCGCUUCCGCGAGCCGCCGUCGUCGGGGCCGAUGUGCGACCUGCUCUGGGCAGACCCGCUGGACGAAAAAGAGGAGGACCCUGCGGCGGCGCCGCUGUUCGUGCCCAACACAACCCGAGGCUGCUCAUACGUCUACAGCAACGCUGCCGCCUGCAACUUCUUGGAGGAAAACGGCCUCAUCACAAUCAUCCGUGGCCACGAGGCCCAGGAUGAGGGCUACCACUUGUACAAGAAGACAAACAAGGGGUUUCCUGCGGUGAUUUGCAUCUUUUCCGCGCCGAACUACUGCGACACAUACGACAACCGGGCCGCCGUCGUCAUGCUGAACCGCAACAUUAUGAGCAUCCGUCAGUUCAACAGCAGCCCUCACCCCUACUACCUGCCUAACUUCAUGAACGCCUUUACUUGGUCGCUGCCCUUCGUUGAGGAGAAGCUGCUCGACAUUGGGACGAACGUCCUGCACCCCAUUGACGGAAGUGAGGAUCAUCUGCUUUUGGACGGGGCAGAGGCGACGACGGCCGCACCGACACCGGGGGCGAACACAGAAAGCCGCGACGGGAGCGUCCUGGAACAGCGAGGCGAGAAAAUUCGCGAGAAGAUACUGGCGAUGGGGAGGCUCUCCCGCAUGUUCCACACCUUGUGCGAAGGAGGCGAGAGCCGUCUUCCACCUAAGGGACUGGCAGGUGGCAUACUACCGCAGGGUGGGCUGCCGUGUGGCCCCGACAGUGUGCAAGCAGCCGGCCGCGGCCUUCAGCAAUCAAAAGAGAUGGACUCUGCCAAUGGGCGCUGGCAGGAUUGUCUGAUCGAGGGCGACUUGGAGCCGUAGCCGAGUGCGGCGACCACAGUUCUCAGUGCCGCGCUCCCUAGCACCGGCAGCAUGUGAGUCGUACAUGGGCGUCUUGACCAGUGCGGUUCGGAUCCAGCAGACACCCGGGAACAUAGACCCAUCCGACGCGUGCGUGUGUGCGUGUGGUGACGUGCACAUGUGGGGCUACGCGCUGUUUUGUGGUGUGCUGCUUCUCCGCCUUUUCUUUUUUCACCCCUCUGUACAGACAAGCUCCAUGUGAUGCUCGCUGUCUCUCUUCCUAUAAAUGUUGGUUGUUGCUCCCGCUUUUCUUUCCUUUUCACUUCUGCUGCAUGCGGUAUCACCCGGCGCGGCCAUGUGAGUGUGCAG